GACCGCUGGGACCAGCUUGUAGAUAAUCACCCUGCAGAGCAAGCUCAUCAGCGACGCCAGUGUCCGCCCCUGGAUGACUAAUUGUGCGUGUGUGAUCAGUGCUGACUCGGAGUGACACGGCCUGCACAAGCAAGCCAGGAUCCGCGCGCACACAAGGCCCACGGCCGCAAGGAUGACGGCCUCUCACAGGGAGAACAUUCAGAAGUGGCUCAUUUCGAAUUACGGUCUGCAGGCAGGAUGUGAGCCACAAAGCCCAGAGCCACAGCAAGGAGCUCCUCAGCAAAUCCACAGCAGACUCGAGAUCUACUGGCUUUCUGCCCCUCCGAUCCCAGGCUUCGGCUCAGAAAAGGAAGACAGAAGGCAAGAAGGUCGAAGGGGAGCGCACACCUCAGGCUUACGGGAAACAACCUUCCUGCUCAGAAUACGACGCAAGCCUACCAUGUCUCCAGUUCCAGAGAGAAAUUUCUUAGAACCUUUCCCACCUUUUGCUCAUUUUUCCUGUUUCUCACAUUACCCUGCUUUGUCCUCCAGAAAUCCAGCCCUGGGCUUUAUGUGGUGUUAAAAUUAUCACCUCCCCCCACCCACCCAUACAGAAUGACCACAUAUCUGCUCUUACAAGAGAAAUGACUUUUGCUGGGCAUGGUGGUGCACACCUUUAAUCCCAGCACUUGGGAGGCAGAGGUAGCAGGAUCACCGUGAGUUUGAGGCCACCCUGAGACUACAUAGUGAAUUCUGUGUCGUCCUGGGCUAGAGUGAGACCCUACCUCAAUAAAACAGAGAGAGAGAGAGAGAGAGAGAGAGAGAGAUCACUUUUCUACCACAUA